AUGUCAGCAAAGCAUCUAAGACCCAAUAUCACUCAUAUUCCAGUAAAGAGAUCUUACGCUAACAUCUUGUAUUUCGGUCGUUCUGCUCAGUUACUUGAGACUGAUAGAAAUGCUGGAUGGACAAAAGCUCAUGAAACAGCAUGUAAUGGUAAUCUGGAAGAUUAUGAAGAAGAGUACAAAGAAAUGGAUAAACAUGAAAUUGAUGUCAGGGAUGGAUUUGGACAAACACCAAUGUGGAUAGCUACAACUAGGUGUAAUUAUCGCAACUAUGUGUUCUUGAAAAAACAUGGAUCUGAUUUGCACCAAAAAGACUACCAAGGAAGAUCACUACUUCAUGCUACUGCAAAUGCAGUAAAUUCUGAAUGUCUCGACAUAUUUAAAGAUUUGAUUGCAAACGGUGUAGAUCUUUAUCAAAAAGAUAUGGUUGGAUCUACAGCUAUCGAUGAACUAAAACAUGAAAACAGUAUUAUAAACUAUGAAACAGAGGGAACUCUACUAGUUACUAAUUUCUUUAUAUUUCUUUAUAAA
rnacentral:sRNA from 1 species